CCUACGGGGGGCAGCAGUGGGGGAUAUUGCACAAUGGGGGGAACCCUGAUGCAGCGACGCCGCGUGGGGGAAGAAGGGCCUCGGCGCGUAAAGCCCUGUCAGCAGGGAAGAAAAUGACGGUACCUGAAGAAGAAGCCCCGGCCAAAUACGUGCCAGAAGCCGCGGUAAUACGCAGGGGGCAGACGUUAUACGGAUUUACUGGGUGUAAAGGGGGCGCAGACGGCGAUGCAAGCCAGGAGGGAAAGCCAUGGGUCCAACCCCGGGACUGCUGUUGAAACUGCGUGGCUGGAGUGCAGGAGGGGCAGGCGGAAUGCGUGGUGUAGCGGUGAAAUGCGUAGAUAUCAGGAGGAACACCGAUGGCGAAGGCAGCAUGCUGGACUGCAACUGACGUUGAGGCACGAAAGCGUGGGGAGCGAACAGGAUUAGAUACCCUUGUAGUC
rnacentral:rRNA from 1 species